UACGUAGGGUGCGAGCGUUGUCCGGAAUUAUUGGGCGUAAAGAGCUCGUAGGCGGUUUGUUGCGUCGGCUGUGAAAUCCCGAGGUUCAACCUCGGGUCUGCAGUCGAUACGAGCAAACUAGAGUGUUGCAGGGGAGACUGGAAUUCCUGGUGUAGCGGUGAAAUGCGCAGAUAUCAGGAGGAACACCGGUGGCGAAGGCGGGUCUCUGGGCAACAACUGACGCUGAGGAGCGAAAGCGUGGGGAGCGAACAGG
rnacentral:rRNA from 1 species